AGGCUCUAAGUCAGCAGAACUUAAGUCUUCACCACGCACUAUCCGCUGCCUCUCUUCGGCCCUUCCUGCCUGGCUCCAGAGUUUCGUUUGGGACCUUUCGGAGGAAAGGAAUUUUAUGAAGGGGGACGAUCAGAAAUUUUUGUGGGGAAGGGGCAGAAUCUUCUCCGCAGCGGGGCGGAGUCUGGAUCUUGGAGGAUGAUCAAGAGCAUAGCCAUUUCCCAGCCUGGGUUUACCCAACCCCCCUCAACCCCGAGCCUGAAAGAGGGCAGCUGUCCAGGGGUGGGGUGGAAUGGGUGGGAAACAUUUCCCAGCAUCGGAAAUGGGGAGGCGGCUGUACCCUCGGCUCCUGUGGAGAUGGGGGUCUUGGCCUUCCUGACAGACCCCGUCCAGCUGGGGAGGAAGUGACCAGAGGAUGCAUUCGGGAGCCCCCACCAUCACCACUGUCCCCAGGCUGCAGCUGUCCCGGGAGCGCGGCCGGAGGUCCCCCCACCUCCACACUGGAGCAGGGGGUUCCGGAGGUGGUGCCAGGAUGCAGGGGGCGACCCAAGUCUGGACAAAUGUGCUCCGGAGGAGCGCUGGGGGUGAGAGGAAGACAGGGCUUAAGACCAAAGGCCUGAGCGUAAGGGGAAGGUGUUAAGUCUGUGUUCUCUGCAGCAGAUGGGAGGAAUGGAUGGAGCCUGAGGCUGGGAAACAGGAAAUCGGGGUACCGAUCGGAUACAGCCUGUAAACCAGCUCACCAGUGUUUCGAAGACGUCUCAUGCCGCCUCUUGAGGGAGACCGUGGCCUCCGGGGAAGUGUCACCUCUUUGGGGAAUUAUGUAACCUUGCCUACGGACAGUGCAGCUCCCCACGGAUAUUGUAACCCUCCGGGAGCAGCGUGGUCCAGCAAUAAUCACCAUUGUUACAAUAACAGCUCUUGAUUCCGAGUGUUCACGAUGUGCCAGGCUCUGAGCCAGGCAUUGUCUGAGGCAUCUUCAUACCGCCGGUGAGGGGGGUACCAUUGUAACCCCUACCACAGACGAAAAAUAAAAGGCUUUCUCUUCUAAGGAAAAUCAACCUGCCAAAAUCCUAUAGCAAGGAAGUGGUGGCAUAGGUAUCCAAGCCCAGUUUCGUACAAUCCCAGUCCGGCCCCUGCAUAUCACUGUUUUAAAUAGAUAAGUAACAACAGGCCCUGCAUCCUCUUUUCCACCCGGGAAGCAGGCUGAGUGGCAACCCUAGCUCUGCUACCCUUUCUCUGACCUAGAAUAAACGGACUCGCCUCUUUGAGCCUCGUCUGUAAAAUGGGGCUGCUAGUAGAUCCUGAAAGAUUAAAAACUGCUGUUAGAAACCAGGAUGUGAUGCAAAUGCCCAAUAAAUAUUGGGCUGGGGUCUAACUUGGCAUACAUUUGGCAUCCUUGAGACGGGAUGUUACACUGCCAGCAGCAACAAUGAAUUAUUGCUAGGUGUGCUAGCUAGCUCACUCCAUUCCUCUCAGCACUCAGACUGCUGAAGCCUGAAGGUUGGUCCAGUUCAAGGCCAGCCUGCCUUACAGCGGGAGUUCAGGGCUCGCUUGGGCUACCUCGUGAAACAUUGUCUCAAGAAAGCCUAUAAAGAGGCAGAGACAGGCGGAUCUCUGUGAGUUCGAGGCCAGCCUGGUCUACAGAGCGAGUUCCAGGACAGCAUCCAAAAAUUUUUUUAAAAUAAAAACUGUUAUUUAUUUGUC